UACGUAGGUGGCAAGCGUUGUCCGGAUUUACUGGGCGUAAAGAGCGCGCAGGCGGUCGUUCAAGUCGCGUGUGAAAGCCCCCGGCUCAACUGGGGAGGGUCACGCGAUACUGAUCGACUCGAAGGCAGGAGAGGGAAGUGGAAUUCCCGGUGUAGUGGUGAAAUGCGUAGAUAUCGGGAGAACACCAGUGGCGAAGGCGACUUCCUGGCCUGUUCUUGACGCUGAGGCGCGGAAAGCUAGGGGAGCAAACGGG
rnacentral:rRNA from 1 species